rnacentral:rRNA from 1 species
GCCAGCCCGCUCAGAAACUCAAAGGAAUUGACGGGGGCCCGCACAAGCGGAGGAGCAUGUGGUUAAUUCGAUGAUACGCGAGGAACCUUACCUGGGCUCGAACGUAAGAUGACUGUAGGUGAAAGCUUACAUCUCUUCGGAGCAUUUUACGAGGUGCUGCAUGGUUGUCGUCAGCUCGUGCCGUGAGGUGUCGGGUUAAGUCCCAUAACGAGCGCAACCCCUACCUUUAGUUGCCAUCAGGUUAAGCUGGGGACUCUAAAGGAACUGCCUACGCAAGUAGUGAGGAAGGCGGGGAUGACGUCAAAUCAGCACGGCCCUUACGUCCAGGGCUACACACGUGCUACAAUGGCCGAUACAGAGGGCAGCUACCUGGUGACAGGAUGCAAAUCUCCAAAGUCGGUCUCAGUUCGGAUCGGAGUCUGCAACCCGACUCCGUGAAGUUGGAUUCGCUAGUAAUCGCGCAUCAGCCAUGGCGCGGUGAAUACGUUCCCGGGCCUU